GGCCAGACUCCUACGGGAGGCAGCAGUGGGGAAUAUUGCACAAUGGGGGAAACCCUGAUGCAGCGACGCCGCGUGAGUGAAGAAGUAUUUCGGUAUGUAAAGCUCUAUCAGCAGGGAAGAAAAUGACGGUACCUGACUAAGAAGCCCCGGCUAACUACGUGCCAGCAGCCGCGGUAAUACGUAGGGGGCAAGCGUUAUCCGGAUUUACUGGGUGUAAAGGGAGCGUAGACGGCAUGGCAAGUCAGAUGUGAAAGCCCGGGGCUCAACCCCGGGACUGCAUUUGAAACUGUCAGGCUGGAGUGCAGGAGAGGUAAGUGGAAUUCCUAGUGUAGCGGUGAAAUGUGUAGAUAUUAGGAGGAACACCAGUGGCGAAGGCGGCUUACUGGACUGUAACUGACGUUGAGGCUCGAAAGCGUGGGGAGCAAACAGGAUUAGAUACCCUCGUA
rnacentral:rRNA from 1 species